rnacentral:rRNA from 1 species
AACGAACGCUGGCGGCAGGCCUAAAACAUGCAAGUCGAACGAACCUUCGGGUUAGUGGCGCACGGGUGAGUAACGCGUGGGAAUGUGCCUCUGGGUGCGGAACAACGUCGGGAAACUGACGCUAAUACCGCAUAAUGUCUACGGACCAAAGAUUUAUCGCCCAGAGAUCAGCCCGCGUCUGAUUAGCUAGUUGGUGAGGUAACGGCUCACCAAGGCUACGAUCAGUAGCUGGUCUGGGAGGAUGAUCAGCCACACUGGAACUGAGACACGGUCCAGACUCCUACGGGAGGCAGCAGUUAGGAAUAUUGGACAAUGGGGGAAACCCUGAUCCAGCCAUGCCGCGUGUGUGAAGAAGGCCUUAGGGUUGUAAAGCACUUUCGGCUGUGAAGAUAAUGACAGUAGCAGAAGAAGAAGCUCCGGCUAAAUUCGUG